rnacentral:rRNA from 1 species
UGGUGGAGUGAUUUGUCUGGUUAAUUCCGUUAACGAACGAGACCUUUGCUUAUUAAGUAGACGCUGGAGUGCCUUGGCACUGCAUUGUUCGUCUUCUUAGCAGGACGUGCGCUCUGGCAGGCGCAGGAGGAUAGAGGCAAUAACA